rnacentral:tRNA from 1 species
AGGGCUAUCGCCAAAUGGUAAGGCACUGGAUUCUGAUUCCAGCAUUUCAAGGUUCGAAUCCUUGUAGCCCUG